AAAGGGUAAAGCCCAACAUAAGGAGGCAAGCUAUACCCUAGAAGAAGCAAGAAACUAAUUGUCUUGGCAACAAAACAAAGAGAAGAAAAGCACACAAACAUAACCUCACAUCCAAAUAUGAAUAUAACAGGAAGCAAUAAUCACUAUUCCUUAAUAUCUCUCAACAUCAAUGGCCUCAACUCCCCAAUAAAAAGACAUAGAUUAACAAACUGGAUACGCAAUGAGGACCCUGCAUUCUGCUGCCUACAGGAAACACACCUCAGAGACAAAGACAGACACUACCUCAGAGUGAAAGGCUGGAAAACAACUUUCCAAGCAAAUGGUCAGAAGAAGCAAGCUGGAGUAGCCAUUCUAAUAUCAAAUAAAAUCAAUUUUCAAUUAAAAGUCAUCAAAAAAGAUAAGGAAGGACACUUCAUAUUCAUCAAAGGAAAAAUCCACCAAGAUGAACUCUCAAUCCUCAUCUUCAGUUAGUUUAUAUACAAGUGUGCAAUUUCUAGGCUUGAAAGUAAAAUGAUGCUAUCUGGUGCUGGAUAGAGGAGCCUUAUUUUUUAUUAUGGCAGCUUGCUAUUUUUGUAACAUGG
rnacentral:lncRNA from 1 species